rnacentral:rRNA from 1 species
UGGGGAAUCUUGCGCAAUGGGCGAAAGCCUGACGCAGCAACGCCGCGUGGAGGAUGAAGGCCCUUGGGUUGUAAACUCCUGUCGGCUGGGAAGAAAUCGUUCGCGGUUAAUACCCGCGGACGUUGACUGUACCAGCAAAGGAAGCCCCGGCUAACUCUGUGCCAGCAGCCGCGGUAAUACAGAGGGGGCCAGCGUUAUUCGGAAUUAUUGGGCGUAAAGGGCGCGUAGGCGGCCAUGCGUGUCUUCCGUGAAAUCCCUCGGCUCAACCGAGGACGUGCGGAAGAAACUGCAAGGCUCGAGUCCAGAAGAGGGGGGCGGAAUUCCCAGUGUAGCGGUGAAAUGCGUAGAUAUUGGGAGGAACACCGGUGGCGAAGGCGGCCCCCUGGGCUGGUACUGACGCUGAUGCGCGAAAGCGUGGGUAGCAAACGGGAUUAGAUACCCCGGUAGUCCACGCCGUAAACGAUGGGCACUUGGUGUCGCGGGUAUCGACCCCUGCGGUGCCGAAGCUAACGCAUUAAG